rnacentral:rRNA from 1 species
GACGAACGCUGGCGGCGUGCCUAAUACAUGCAAGUAGAACGCUGAAGGAGGAGCUUGCUUCUCCGGAUGAGUUGCGAACGGGUGAGUAACGCGUAGGUAACCUGCCUGGUAGCGGGGGAUAACUAUUGGAAACGAUAGCUAAUACCGCAUAAGAGUAGAUGUCGCAUGACAUUUGCUUAAAAGGUGCAACUGCACCACUACCAGAUGGACCUGCGUUGUAUUAGCUAGUUGGUGGGGUAACGGCUCACCAAGGCAACGAUACAUAGCCGACCUGAGAGGGUGAUCGGCCACACUGGGACUGAGACACGGCCCAGACUCCUACGGGAGGCAGCAGUAGGGAAUCUUCGGCAAUGGACGGAAGUCUGACCGAGCAACGCCGCGUGAGUGAAGAAGGUUUUCGGAUCGUAAAGCUCUGUUGUAAGAGAAGAACGAGUGUGAGAGUGGAAAGUUCACACUGUGACGGUAUCUUACCAGAAAGGGACGGCUAACUACGUG